rnacentral:rRNA from 1 species
CGAAUUGCGAUAUGUAAUGUGAAUUGCAGAAUUCAGUGAAUCAUCGAAUCUUUGAACGCACCUUGUG